rnacentral:rRNA from 1 species
AGGGCGCACGGUGGAUGCCUUGGCACCAGGAACCGAUGAAGGACGUGGGAGGCCACGAUAGUCCCCGGGGAGUCGUCAACCAGGCUUUGAUCCGGGGGUUUCCGAAUGGGGAAACCCGGCAGUCGUCAUGGGCUGUCACCCGCUGCUGAACACAUAGGCAGUGUGGAGGGAACGCGGGGAAGUGAAACAUCUCAGUACCCGCAGGAAGAGAAAACAAUAGUGAUUCCGUGAGUAGUGGCGAGCGAAAGCGGAUGGGGCUAAACCGUAUGUGUGUGAUACCCGGCAGGGGUUGCAGGCUUGGGGUUGUGGGACGUGUCUGAUGGGUCUGCCGGCUUGUCGACGUGUACGUGUAGUGGUAGUCGAAGUCGUGGUGAGUGCGACGGCGUAGAGGGUGUGACCCCCGUAGACGAAACUGUUGUGCGGCGUGAUGCUGUUCCCGAGUAGCACCGGGCCCGUGAAAUCCGGUGUGAAUCUGCCAGGACCACCUGGUAAGCCUGAAUACUACCUGUUGACCGAUAGCGGAUCAGUACCGUGAGGGAAUGGUGAAAAGUACCCCGGGAGGGGAGUGAAAUAGUACCUGAAACCGUGCGCUUACAAUCCGUCGGAGCCUUUAGGGGUGACGGCGUGCCUUUUGAAGAAUGAGCCUGCGAGUUAGUGAUACGUGGCGAGGUUAACCCGUGUGGGGAAGCCGUAGCGAAAGCGAGUCUGAAUAGGGCGACUUGAGUUCGACGGAUCAGACCCGAAACCGGGUGAUCUAGCCAUGGGCAGGUUGAAGGUGCGGUAACACGCACUGGAGGUCCGAACCGACUAGUGUUGCAAAACUAGCGGAUGAGCUGUGGAUAGGGGUGAAAGGCUAAACAAACUUGGAAAUAGCUGGUUCUCUCCGAAAACUAUUUAGGUAGUGCCUCAAGUAUUACCAUCGGGGGUAGAGCACUGUUAUGGCUAGGGGGUCAUGGCGACUUACCAAACCAUUGCAAACUCCGAAUACCGAUGAGUGAUAUCCGGGAGACAGACGGCGGGUGCUAACGUCCGUCGUCAAGAGGGAAACAACCCAGACCGCCAGCUAAGGCCCCAAAUUCCUAGUUAAGUGGGAAACGAUGUGGGAAGGCACAGACAGCUAGGAGGUUGGCUUAGAAGCAGCCAUCCUUUAAAGAAAGCGUAAUAGCUCACUAGUCGAGUCGGCCUGCGCGGAAGAUGUAACGGGGCUAAGCCAGUAACCGAAGCUGCGGAUCUCGCAAGAGAUGGUAGGAGAGCGUUCCGUACGCCUGUGAAGGUGGGUUGUAAAGCCUGCUGGAGGUAUCGGAAGUGCGAAUGCUGACAUGAGUAACGAUAAUACGGGUGAAAAACCCGUUCGCCGUAAGCCCAAGGUUUCCAGCGCAACGGUAAUCGGCGCUGGGUGAGUCGGAACCUAAGGCGAGGCCGAGAGGCGUAGUCGAUGGACAACAGGCGAAUAUUCCUGUACUACCCAUCGUUGGUUACGGGGGACGGAGGAGGCCAGGUUAGCCGAAAGAUGGUUAUCGGUCCAAGGGCGCAAAGUGAGUGAACCUUUCGAGGCGAUGAAAAGGGGUAGAGAGAAUACCUCGAGCCGACGCCCGAGUGGCAAGCGCUACGGCGCUGAAGUAACUCAUGUCACACUCCCAAGAAAAGCCCGAACGACCUUCAACGAGUGGGUACCCGUACCUGAAACCGACACAGGUGGGUAGGUAGAGAAUACCUAGGGGCGCGAGAUAACUCUCUCUAAGGAACUCGGCAAAAUAGCCCCGCAACUUCGGGAGAAGGGGCGCCUUCUCGCAGAAGAGGUCGCAGUGACCAGGCCCAGGCGACUGUUUACCAAAAACACCGGUCCCUGCCAACGCGCAUGCGUGCGGACGUAUAGGGGCUGAGACCUGCCCAGUGCCGGAAGGUUAAAGGGAGAGGUUAGCGCAAGCGAAGCUUUGAACUGAAGCCCCGGUGAACGGCGGCCGUAACUAUAACGGUCCUAAGGUAGCGAAAUUCCUUGUCGGGUAAGUUCCGACCUGCACGAAUGGAGUAACGACUUCCCCGCUGUCUCAACCAUGAACUCGGCGAAAUUGCAUUACGAGUAAAGAUGCUCGUUACGCGCAGAAGGACGGAAAGACCCCGAGACCUUUACUAUAGUUUGGUAUUGGUGUUCGGUGUGGCUUGUGUAGGAUAGGUGGGAGACUGUGAAGCGGGCACGCCAGUGUUCGUGGAGUCAUCGUUGAAAUACCACUCUGGUCACUCUGGACAUCUAACUUCGGCCCGUGAUCCGGGUCAGGGACAGUGCCUGAUGGGUAGUUUAACUGGGGCGGUUGCCUCCCAAAAUGUAACGGAGGCGCCCAAAGGUCCCCUCAGCCUGGUUGGCAAUCAGGUGUCGAGUGCAAGUGCACAAGGGGGCUUGACUGUGAGAGAGACAUCUCGAGCAGGGACGAAAGUCGGGACUAGUGAUCCGGCACUGGCUUGUGGAAGCGGUGUCGCUCAACGGAUAAAAGGUACCUCGGGGAUAACAGGCUGAUCUUGCCCAAGAGUCCAUAUCGACGGCAUGGUUUGGCACCUCGAUGUCGGCUCGUCGCAUCCUGGGGCUGGAGUAGGUCCCAAGGGUUGGGCUGUUCGCCCAUUAAAGCGGUACGCGAGCUGGGUUCAGAACGUCGUGAGACAGUUCGGUCCCUAUCCGCUGCGCGCGUUGGAAAUUUGAGAAGGUCUGUCCUUAGUACGAGAGGACCGGGACGGACGAACCUCUGGUAUGUCAGUUGUACCGCCAGGUGCAUGGCUGAUUAGCUACGUUCGGGAUGGAUAACCGCUGAAAGCAUCUAAGCGGGAAGCCCACCUUAAGAUUAGAUUUCCCUAAAGAGCCGUUGU